rnacentral:rRNA from 1 species
GACGAACGCUGGCGGCGUGCUUAACACAUGCAAGUCGAACGGAAAGGCCCUGCUUUUGUGGGGUUCUCGAGUGGCGAACGGGUGAGUAACACGUGAGUAACCUGCCCUUGACUUUGGGAUAACUUCAGGAAACUGGGGCUAAUACCGGAUAGGAGCUCCUGCUGCAUGGUGGGGGUUGGAAAGUUUCGGCGGUUGGGGAUGGACUCGCGGCUUAUCAGCUUGUUGGUUGGGUAGUGGCUUACCAAGGCUUUGACGGGUAGCCGGCCUGAGAGGUUAACCGGCCACAUUGGGACUGAGAUACGGCCCAGACUCCUACGGGAGGCAGCAGUGGGGAAUAUUGCCCAAUGGGCGGAAGCCUGAUGCAGCAACGCCGCGUGCGGGAUGACGGCCUUCGGGUUGUAAACCGCUUUCGCCUGUGACGAAGCGUGAGUGACGGUAAUGGGUAAAGAAGCACCGGCUAACUACGUG